ACCAAAAUAGUUUUAAAUCAAAGAUAAUAUUGCAACCUUUUUGUAUAUUUAAAUGUUUGAUUCUAAAUCGAUGGCGCGAAAAGUUAUUAAACAUUGAAAAGAAUUUCUCCAUUUUAUUGAGAUAAAAGU